AAGAGGUGGGGAAGCAGUCAGCUGCGUCUGGAUGCCCAUCUAGGCAGGACUCCUAGGAGAAGAUUGUUAGGGUGUGGGAAAAGCCAAAGGCAGAGAAGAUUUUGCAUCAUCUCCCAUAUGGGAUUCUACGAAGAGACGUUCAAAUAAAAUCAGUACACAACACGGUUAGGCAGAGGGAGGGCUUGAAUUUUGCAUCCGGAAGGUUCCAUGUGCCCUGUGGACGGAUAGAGAAAACAGCUGACGGUGUUGAUGGGUGGCAUUAAUGGGAGUUGCUCUGGGAACGGUGAAGCGGCCACAGGGUGACCAGAGACAACCAUGGGCAAAGUGGGUGUGGCAGCCAGACCACAGGGGGAAACUGGGCACCAGAAAGAGCUGAGGUAGGGCUGGUCAGCUGGGAGGCACCCUGAGUGGACCGAGGGAACCGCCAGCUGUCUAGCUGUCCGCCAGUUGUAGACCCAGCAAGUGUGACCUGCUGGGACACGAGCAGGACAACAGGAGUAAUAGAGGCCACCUCCCAGGAUUAUGAGGGUGCAGUAGGAGCCGUGAGGGCGUGUGACAGAGGUCAGACGCUAGACACGGGACUUCGGACCUCACCCUUUCUUCCAUCCGGCCGUCUUGCCACAGCCGCUGCCGUGAGCGAUGCCUAGAGCUGUGGGGACCUGGGUGGUGGCUCAGGGACAGGAAAGAGACAAACAGGCCUCAUUUUAAUGCUUGUCCACAACCUGGACCUGGUUUUUUAAGGUGAGCCUCGCCUAACCAGCAGUCGGUGUUUAUUGAUAUGUAGUAAGUCAAUGACCAAAUGAAUGAGUGAUGAAGGCCUUUCCCAGGGACUUUGGGAGUCAUGGAAACCUUUCCGGCAACACCCUCCUGUUAGAGAAUGAAGACGUGUGUAUUACAGGAGGGAGGAAACAGUUGCCUGCAGAUUUCUUUUUUUAGCGCAGCACGAGGGGAUUCAAGAGGGGACAGCCAGAGCUGGAGCACAGACGAAGGGCCACCAACUGGUGUCAUGUGAGGCUCUGGCCUGCUUUUGGCAGGAUCACCAAAACAGCAGAAGGGAGUCACUUUUCAGGCCCCGUUCAGAUGUCACCUCCUCCCGGAAGCCUUCCUUGAUAGCCGCCCGCCAGGAUGAGAUGCCUACUCUGUGCUUCUCUCUACGGACCCCUUACCUAGAACAGUCUGCUCAUCGCGGUUCUCCCUUGAAGAGCGCCUGGCCUAAAUUCUUGAGGUUUGGGAACAGCACGGAGGCUCAGGGCGACGGGGCGGUCCGCCUGGGUGGUGGCCGGCCGGGUGGGUGGGGACGAAGACUGAACAAUGGAGAGCCGGCACAUGGUAGCAAUUGGCCUCUGUGCCUAGACCACCCGAGGAGCCGGGCCCCGUGGCCUCGGAGCGGGGAGCGUGAAGGGCGCCCGCUGUCGGUGCCGUCUGCGAACGGAUUUGGAACCGACGGGCGCAAGGCAGCCGGUGGCGGUAGGCGCCUGAAAGCUUCUGGCGGAAGGAAUCGGGCGCAAAAAGCACCGACCUCAAAACCCCAGCCACACAUCUGGACGUGUGCAGAGGGGAGCGGACGGGGGAUGCGGACGGUGACGUCCAAAUAUCAGCCCGAAGGCCCAACGGGGAAGAAGAUCCCGCCCCACCCGCCCUGCCGCGCCUCCCACUUCAGAGAUGAAUAAAAUAGGGCCCCGGUUCUGCUGUUCCGGGCGGAGCCGCCCCCCACCCCCACCCCCCAUCUCGGGACAGACUCUUGAAGUCCCCCGGGGUGGGGGGGGGGGCUUUCCUUUGUGGCCUUUCCUGCCCACGCUCUGGGCUACCCGUAAAUCUGACCCUGUCCACGGCCAGCGGGCCUCAAGAGCUGGGAGACUCACGGGGGCAAACAACUUGACAAAAACAAUCUGUCCCAUAAACAAAGUCGGUGGAAAGCGUCCAGCCCCACACAAUGGAGCUAAUCUUCUGGGCACACAUUUCCCGUCCGGGGUAUUAGCGUAGACACCGCUUCCUCCUAGGUGGAGGUAACGCCACUUGGCCCGAGGAUCCAAGAACAAUAAUGCUCUGUAGAUCCCCAGCUCCCCCCGACCGAGGCAUGGUGAGCAGGAAUUCAGAGGCAGGGAGCUGAGGCUUCCCCCUCCUUUCUUUUCUUAAAGAAGCCCUGUGGGUUUGGAGGCAGGGUCACAUCUGGAAAGAACAGGGGUGCACAGAGCAUCUAACCCUGGGUCGUGAUUAUGCGCCACCCCUGCCCGGCCCUGAGCUGUGGGGCAAGUGAUUUAAUCUCCUAGAACUGUAAUUUCCCCAUUGUUCAAGGGGGAUGGUGUAAAGAUGCCCAAACUCACUCGUACUCAGGGGGACGUAAAAUUAAAACAUCGAAUGGCCACUAUCAAAAAAAAAAAAAAAAACCAAAACCCACAGAAAAUAACCCAUGUCGGCAAGGAUGUGGUUGUACAUCCUUGGAAGCGGUGUAAGAUGAUGCAGCUGGAGAAUAGUAUGACGGUUCCUUGGAAAUUAAAAACAAAAUUACCAUGUGGCCCAGCAAUCCCGCUUCUAGGUCCAUACCCAGAAGAAUGCUGUGCUCCCAGCAACAUUGUUCAGAAUAGCCCAGAAAUGGAAGCGACCCAAAUAUCCAUCUAUGAAUGCACUGAUAAGGAAAAUGUGGUCUAUCCAUUCCACGGACUAUGAUUCAGCCUCAGAAAUGAGGGAGAUCAUGUCACCCUGCUACAACGUGGAUGACCCCUGAGGACAUUGCGCUAAGUGAAAUGAGCCGGGCGUAAAAAGACAAAAUGAAGCCAGCCACCAUAUUGUGAGGACACUCAAGCCGUGUGACAAGGAACUAACAGCUCCCUCUGACAGCCAGCACCGGCUCGAUCCACCUUUGAUAUAUCUAUCUACACCCAGUCAAGCCUUUAGGUGACUGAUUGCACCUCUUGAGAAACCUUAAACCCGAACCACCCAACGAAGUUGCUUCUGAAUUCCCGACCCAUGGGAACUGUGAUAUAAUAAAUAUGAAGGGUUUUAAGCCACUAGAUUUGAGGGUAAUAGGUAACUAAUGCAGUUAUAGUUGUCUCCUUAAUGCCCUGGGCCUGCGGUCUGUUCUCCUCUUGCUCGGCUGGUGUCAGAAAGGUAACGUCAGAAAGUCACGUUAGUACUGAACCAAAACUUUUGUUCUUCAAGUAAUCAGAAGGACUGGCUGUUCUUCAAGGCUUAUUUCUGCAUUUGGUGUAAAGUCAAUUCCACUAGAAGCAAGAACCCAUAUGGUGAGAAGCACUGAACUGGCCAGUUGUGGACUCGGCUGGGUCCCCCACCCCUCAAAUUCAUAUGUUGAAGUCCUCAUCCUCACUUCCUCAGAAUGGGACUGUAUUUGAAGACAGGGCCUUUAAAGAGGUCAUUAAGUUGAAAUGAGUUCAUUAGGGUGAACCCUCAUUCAAUAGGACUGGUAUCCUUAUAAGAAGGUGAGGCCACAGACACACACAGAGGGACAGCCAUGUGCAGACACAGGGAGAAGUCGACCAUCCACAAGCCAAGAAGAGCGCUCUCACCAGAACCCAGCCAUGCUGGCAACUUGAGCUUGGACUUUGAGCCUCCACAAUUGUGACAGAAUAAAUCUAUGUUGCUUAAACCACCCAUCUGUGGCGUUUCGUUUUGGUUCUCCCAGCAAACUAACACAUAGUCUAACACACUUGCUUUACAAAUCAUGGCCUUACGUCCAAAGGGCAGAAGUGACUUGGCCAAGGUCACAGAGAGAAGACAGAGCAGAACAGCAAUGAAAGCCCCUCUCUCCUCACUGGAGUCCAGUGGUUCUUCCAAUAAGUGAGGCCAAGCCCCCCCAAUGGAGAAGAAUUCUCAGAAAAUGCUUACAGAUGACAUCUGAGUUCCUUGUUCCUUGUUCAAGAUGGCGAGUGAGUGGCCUCUGCUCACAACCCCAUCACUUUCUCUGCCUCAGGCAUUGAAAUUUUUUCAAGUAUUUAAAAAAUAUG